rnacentral:rRNA from 1 species
AACGAACGCUGGCGGCAUGCCUAACACAUGCAAGUCGAACGAGACCUUCGGGCCUAGUGGUGCACGGGUGCGUAACGCGUGGGAAACUGCCUUUAGGUCCGGAAUAACUUCCCGAAAGGGGUGCUAAUACCGGCUAUUGUCUUCGGACCAAAGAUUUAUCGCCUUUGGAUGGGCUCGCGUUGGAUCACUAAGAUAGUAGGGUAAAAGCCUACAAAGGCGACGAUCCAUAGCUGGGCUGAGAGGCUGGUCAGCCACACUGGGACUGAGACACGGCCCGGACUACUACAGGAUGCAGCAGUGGGUAAUAUUGGACAGUGGGCGGUAUCCUGAUCCAGCAAUGCCGCGUGAGUAAUGAAGGCCUUGGGGUUGUAAAGCUCUUUUACCCGUGGUUAUAUUGACAGUACCAAGAGAAUAAGCUCCGGCUAACUCCGUG